rnacentral:rRNA from 1 species
AGUGAACGCUGGCGGUAGGCCUAACACAUGCAAGUCGAACGGCAGCACAGGAGAGCUUGCUCUCUGGGUGGCGAGUGGCGGACGGGUGAGGAAUACAUCGGAAUCUACCUUUUCGUGGGGGAUAACGGAGGGAAACUUACGCUAAUACCGCAUACGACCUACGGGUGAAAGUGGGGGACCGCAAGGCCUCACGCGAUCAGAUGAGCCGAUGUCCGAUUACCUAGUUGGCGGGGUAAUGGCCCACCAAGGCGACGAUCGGUAGCUGGUCUGAGAGGAUGAUCAGCCACACUGGAACUGAGACACGGUCCAGACUCCUACGGGAGGCAGCAGUGGGGAAUAUUGGACAAUGGGCGCAAGCCUGAUCCAGCCAUACCGCGUGGGUGAAGAAGGCCUUCGGGUUGUAAAGCCCUUUUGUUGGGAAAGAAAUCCUGUCGAUUAAUACUCGGUGGGGAUGACGGUACCCAAAGAAUAAGCACCGGCUAACUUCGUGCCAGCAGCCGCAGUAAUAC